rnacentral:rRNA from 1 species
CGUAUGGUGCAAGCGUUGUUCGGAUUUACUGGGCGUAAAGAGCGCGCAGGCGGAUGGAUAAGUCGGGUGUGAGAUCUCCAGGCUCAACCUGGAUGCUGCAUCCGAAACUGUCAAUCUGGAGUCCCGGAGAGGCAGACGGAAUACUUGGUGUAGCGGUGAAAUGCGUAGAUAUCAAGUGGAACACCGAUGGCGAAGGCAGUCUGCUGGACGGUGACUGACGCUGAGGCGCGAAAGCGUGGGGAGCAAACAGGAUUAGAUACCCCAGUAGUCC